CCUGGCUCAGAUUGAACGCUGGCGGCAUGCCUUACACAUGCAAGUCGAACGGCAGCGGACCUUCGGGUGCCGGCGAGUGGCGAACGGGUGAGUAAUAUGUCGGAACGUACCUUUCAGUGGGGGAUAACGUAGCGAAAGUUACGCUAAUACCGCAUAUUCUGUGAGCAGGAAAGCAGGGGGAUCGCAAGACCUUGCGCUGAUUGAGCGGCCGAUAUCAGAUUAGCUAGUUGGUGAGGUAAAGGCUCACCAAGGCGACGAUCUGUAGCGGGUCUGAGAGGAUGAUCCGCCACACUGGAACUGAGACACGGUCCAGACUCCUACGGGAGGCAGCAGUGGGGAAUUUUGGACAAUGGGCGCAAGCCUGAUCCAGCCAUGCCGCGUGAGUGAAGAAGGCCUUCGGGUUGUAAAGCUCUUUCGGCCGGGAAGAAAUCGCACAGGUUAAUACCCUGUGUGGAUGACGGUACCGGAAUAAGAAGCACCGGCUAACUACGUG
rnacentral:rRNA from 1 species